GUGCUCGCUUCGGCAGCACAUACACUAAAAUUGGAACAACACAGAAGAUUAGCACUGUCCUUGCACAAAGAUGACACACAAAUUUGUGAAGCGUUCCAUAUUUUU
ensembl:snRNA U6 U6 spliceosomal RNA